rnacentral:lncRNA from 1 species
GUCACCCAGGCUUCAGGUAUAACUGUUAAAGAGCUUGAUAAACACCUACCGUGGUUACCACUGCAAACAUGCUGCCGAGUACUGAUGUUCCCAUCCAUAUUCCAUCCUUGUUUCUAACAGGAGGACUUCAGAUGGCACACUGCACACUGUCCUUGUGAUGGGUGAUUCGAUGGUUUACCAAAUUGUAUCCAACAUUACUUCAUGAAAGAACAGUUCUAACAAUUUUGUGUGGGACCAUCUACUGAAGAGUGGCCAUCACACCUUGAGCCACACUCUCAAAGAAAACUGACACUCUCCCAGCAAUCAUCAGCUACUCACAGCUCCUCAGUGAGGGAUAAAUUCCACAAUGAACUGUUGUCAGGCUCCAUCUUGUGCAUAUCUUGGGCAGACAACCACAGUUCCUUUGAGUUCACGAGUGCAGUGGAUUUGUCAUAUCUAGAAGAUAGUGUUCUCUUCUGAUCCUCCCUGACCUCUGUCUCUUAAAAUUUUUUCUCCACACUUCCAUGAUGGUCCCCGAGCCUUGGGGAGGAAUGUGGUAUAGAUGCCCCAUUUAUGACAGAGCUCUACUGACACUUCUCUGCACUUGGACCCGUUGUGAGUUUCUAUAUUAACCACAAUCCACUGCACAAAGAAACUUCUCUAAUGAUGUUUGAGAGCUGCACUAAUGAGAGCCUGGACCCAGAAGAAUACUCUACUUUCUUCCUCCAGAAAUUCAGAGUUUCCAGUCUAGUAGAUCAACCUGGAAUUGACUUGAGCACAAGACCCCUCAAGAUUCUACGUAUGAGAUCACAUCAUCUACAACUGGAGAUGGUUUUACUUCUUCUUCCUUUUCCAUUUAAUGGUUUCGACUUCUCCUUUCAUCUCCCCUCCUUUGGUCCUCCAGUACAGUGUAGGUUCAAACACUCCUUUCUGUCUUAUUCCUGAUCAUACAGAUGCUCUGUGUUGAGGUAUUUGAGAAAGUCCCUUUCCUUCAUUAGUGUUUUUAUGGGCGGGGGGCAUGUUUUUAUUGAAGAAAGUUAUUCCAUAUGGCUUUAUUGGCUGAUCUUUUCCAAUAGCAAAGCAAUUUUUAUUCAUUCAAAAAUUCCUCUUAAAAACCCCCUUUUUAUCUUGUGGCAAAAUAAUCUGAUUUUUAAUUG